AUACGUAGGGUGCAAGCGUUAAUCGGAAUUACUGGGCGUAAAGCGCGCGCAGGCGGUUUUGUAAGACAGUGGUGAAAUCCCCGGGCUCAACCUGGGAACUGCCAUUGGGACUGCAAGGCUGGAGUGCGGCAGAGGGGGAUGGAAUUCCGCGUGUAGCAGUGAAAUGCGUAGAUAUGCGGAGGAACACCGAUGGCGAAGGCAAUCCCCUGGGCCUGUACUGACGCUCAUGCACGAAAGCGUGGGGAGCAAACAGGAUUAGAUCCCCUGGUAGUCCACGCCCUAAACGAUGUCAACUGGUUGUUGGGGAUUUAUUUUCUCAGUAACGAAGCUAACGCGUGAAGUUGACCGCCUGGGGAGUACGGCCGCAAGGUUAAAACUCAAAGGAAUUGACGGGG
rnacentral:rRNA from 1 species